rnacentral:rRNA from 1 species
CAGUAGCCGCGGGAAUACGUAGGGUGCAAGCGUUGUCCGGAAUUAUUGGGCGUAAAGAGCGUGUAGGCGGCUCGACAAGUCCGCUGUGAAAGUCCAGGGCUCAACCCUGGAAUGCCGGUGGAUACUGUCGAGCUAGAGUCCGGAAGGGGCGAGUGGAACUCCUGGUGUAGCGGUGAAAUGCGCAGAUAUCAGGAAGAACACCAAUGGCGAAGGCAGCUCGCUGGGACGUGACUGACGCUGAGACGCGAAAGCGUGGGGAGCGAACAGGAUUAGAUACCCCGGUAGUCCCUGUCUCUUAUAC